AUGAAAAUCGAUAUUUCCAAAGCUUUCAACACUUUAUCUUGGGAAUUUCUCCUAAAGGUUUUGAGAAAGACGGGUUUUGGACCGAGGUGGUGCGCCUGGAUCUGUGGGCUUUUAUCCAUGGCCUCCUCCUAUGUCCUCAUCAAUGGUGAGAUCUCUGAGGCCUUCACACUCGGUCGGGGAGUUCGACAAGGCGAUGCCCUUUCACCAGGUCUCUUCAUCCUGGCCAUGGACACCAUCCAUUGCAUGCUACAAUGGGUAGCACAACAGAAACUACUCUCUUAUUUGGGAUGUCACAGCAAGGUGCCGAGGGUAUCUAUAUUUGCAGACGAUGCAGUUAUGUUCUUCAGGCCGGUGCCCUCGGACCUGCGGGUUAUCUCUGCAAUUCGGAAGCUACUUGGGGAAGCGUCAGUGCUACAGAUCAACCUGCAAAAAGCACGAUCACCUGCAUCCGAUGUGAAGAUGACCUAG
rnacentral:rRNA from 1 species